AGAGUUUGAUCAUGGCUCAGAUUGAACGCUGGCGGCAGGCCUAACACAUGCAAGUCGAGCGGAUGAAGGGAGCUUGCUCCUGGAUUCAGCGGCGGACGGGUGAGUAAUGCCUAGGAAUCUGCCUGGUAGUGGGGGAUAACGUCCGGAAACGGGCGCUAAUACCGCAUACGUCCUGAGGGAGAAAGUGGGGGAUCUUCGGACCUCACGCUAUCAGAUGAGCCUAGGUCGGAUUAGCUAGUUGGUGGGGUAAAGGCCUACCAAGGCGACGAUCCGUAACUGGUCUGAGAGGAUGAUCAGUCACACUGGAACUGAGACACGGUCCAGACUCCUACGGGAGGCAGCAGUGGGGAAUAUUGGACAAUGGGCGAAAGCCUGAUCCAGCCAUGCCGCGUGUGUGAAGAAGGUCUUCGGAUUGUAAAGCACUUUAAGUUGGGAGGAAGGGCAGUAAGUUAAUACCUUGCUGUUUUGACGUUACCAACAGAAUAAGCACCGGCUAACUUCGUGCCAGCAGCCGCGGUAAUACGAAGGGUGGAAGCGUUAAUCGGAAUUACUGGGCGUAAAGCGCGCGUAGGUGGUUCAGCAAGUUGGAUGUGAAAUCCCCGGGCUCAACCUGGGAACUGCAUCCAAAACUACUGAGCUAGAGUACGGUAGAGGGUGGUGGAAUUUCCUGUGUAGCGGUGAAAUGCGUAGAUAUAGGAAGGAACACCAGUGGCGAAGGCGACCACCUGGACUGAUACUGACACUGAGGUGCGAAAGCCUGGGGAGCAAACAGGAUUAGAUACCCUGGUAGUCCACGCCGUAAACGAUGUCGACUAGCCGUUGGGAUCCUUGAGAUCUUAGUGGCGCAGCUAACGCGAUAAGUCGACCGCCUGGGGAGUACGGCCGCAAGGUUAAAACUCAAAUGAAUUGACGGGGGCCCGCACAAGCGGUGGAGCAUGUGGUUUAAUUCGAAGCAACGCGAAGAACCUUACCUGGCCUUGACAUGCUGAGAACUUUCCAGAGAUGGAUUGGUGCCUUCGGGAACUCAGACACAGGUGCUGCAUGGCUGUCGUCAGCUCGUGUCGUGAGAUGUUGGGUUAAGUCCCGUAACGAGCGCAACCCUUGUCCUUAGUUACCAGCACCUCGGGUGGGCACUCUAAGGAGACUGCCGGUGACAAACCGGAGGAAGGUGGGGAUGACGUCAAGUCAUCAUGGCCCUUACGGCCAGGGCUACACACGUGCUACAAUGGUCGGUACAAAGGGUUGCCAAGCCGCGAGGUGGAGCUAAUCCCAUAAAACCGAUCGUAGUCCGGAUCGCAGUCUGCAACUCGACUGCGUGAAGUCGGAAUCGCUAGUAAUCGUGAAUCAGAAUGUCACGGUGAAUACGUUCCCGGGCCUUGUACACAUCGCCCGUCACACCAUGGGAGUGGGUUGCUCCAGAAGUAGCUAGUCUAACCGCAAGGGGGACGGUUACCACGGAGUGAUUCAUGACUGGGGUGAAGUCGGAACAAGGUAGCCGUAGGGGAACCUGCGGCUG
rnacentral:rRNA from 1 species